rnacentral:tRNA from 1 species
GCGAGCGUGGCGCAGCCGGUAUCGCGCCUGUUUUUGAAGCGGUGGGCGGGGGUUCGAAGCCCGCCGAGCGCA